rnacentral:misc_RNA from 1 species
GUUCGUUGGAAAACGGGUAUUUUUGUGGCAUGCGCUUAGCUUUAUUUCCCUUUGAUAUAAAAGUGUAAUUUAUCGGUACUUUGCAUGAAAAAACAUAUUUUUAGAGAUGUUACGAUCUCGGAAAAUGUUGGAUAUGCUCAAAGAUGACGCAGAAGAGCUUAAUCUUAAUUCAAAAUUUACAAAAUAUGAUGCUGUUUAUACGAAGAACAGCGUAAAUACUGUUGUGUAUGAUAACGAAACCACUAUGACACAUCAAACGUCAUCAUUGCCUCCUGGUG